rnacentral:rRNA from 1 species
UGUAGUCUGCAACCCGAACCUACAUGAAGCUGGAAUCGCUAGUAAUCGCAGGUCAGCAUACUGCGGUGAAUACGUUCCCGGGUCUUGUACACACCGCCCGUCACACCAUGGGAGCCGAAAAUGCCCGAAGCCAGUGACCCAACCUUGGGGAGGGAGCUGUCGAAGGUGGAGCCGGUAACUGGGGUGAAGUCGUAACAAGGUAGC